rnacentral:rRNA from 2 species
GUCCGUGAUUAUACAGAUGUGGAAACGCCUUGCUCCAUCCCGAACCAAGAAGCUAAGCACAUCGUGGGUGAUGAUACUACGCCUUACUG